AAUCCGUCGACUUUAGAAAUCGUGAGGGUUCAAGUCCCUCUAUCCCCC
rnacentral:tRNA from 51 species